rnacentral:rRNA from 1 species
GACGAACGCUGGCGGCGUGCCUAAUACAUGCAAGUAGAACGCUGAAGGAGGAGCUUGCUUCUCUGGAUGAGUUGCGAACGGGUGAGUAACGCGUAGGUAACCUGCCUGGUAGCGGGGGAUAACUAUUGGAAACGAUAGCUAAUACCGCAUAAUAUUGACUAUUGCAUGAUAGUCAGUUGAAGGGUACAACUGCACCACUACCAGAUGGACCUGCGUUGUAUUAGCUAGUUGGUGGGGUAACGGCUCACCAAGGCGACGAUACAUAGCCGACCUGAGAGGGUGAUCGGCCACACUGGGACUGAGACACGGCCCAGACUCCUACGGGAGGCAGCAGUAGGGAAUCUUCGGCAAUGGACGGAAGUCUGACCGAGCAACGCCGCGUGAGUGAAGAAGGUUUUCGGAUCGUAAAGCUCUGUUGUAAGAGAAGAACGAGUGUGAGAGUGGAAAGCUCACACUGUGACGGUAUCUUACCAGAAAGGGACGGCUAACUACGUG